rnacentral:rRNA from 1 species
ACUCCUACGGGAGGCAGCAGUAGGGAAUAUUGGACAAUGGGGGAAACCCUGAUCCAGCGAUGCCGCGUGAGUGAAGAAGGCCUUAGGGUCGUAAAGCUCUUUCACCGAUGAAGAUGAUGACUGUAGUCGGAGAAGAAGUCCCGGCAAACUUCGUGCCAGCAGCCGCGGUAAUACGAAGGGGACUAGCGUUGUUCGGAAUUACUGGGCGUAAAGGGCGCGUAGGCGGUUAUAUAAGUCAGGUGUGAAAUCCUUGCUCUCAAGGCAAGAACUGCAUCUGAAACUGUGUAACUCGAGAACGGUAGAGGAUAAUGGAAUUCUGAGUGUAGAGGUGGAAUUCAUAGAUAUUCAGAGGAACAUCAGUGGUGAAGACGUUUAUCUGGGCCGUUACUGACGCUGAGGCGCGAAAGCGUGGGGAGCAAAUAGGAUUAGAUACCCUAGUAGUCCACGCCGUAAACGAUGAGUGCUAGAUGUCGGAUUUAUUUUCGGUGUCCAAGCUAACGCGUUAAGCACUCCGCCUGGGGAGUACGGUCGCAAGACUAAAACUCAAAGGAAUUGACGGGGACCCGCACAAGCGGUGGAGCAUGUGGUUUAAUUCGAAGCAACGCGCAGAACCUUACCAGGGCUUGCAUACUGAUCGGGAAUUUUAGAGAUAAUUUUCUUCAUUAAGUUGGAUCAGAUACAGGUGCUGCAUGGCUGUCGUCAGCUCGUGUCGUGAGAUGUUGGGUUAAGUCCCGCAACGAGCGCAACCCUCAUUCUUAGUUGCCAGCGAGUAAUGUCGGGGACUCUAAGAAAACUGCCGGUGAUAAGCCGGAGGAAGGUGGGGAUGACGUCAAGUCCUCAUGGCCUUUAUGUCCUGGGCUACACAUGUGCUACAAUGGUGGUGACAGAGAGUAACAAUUUUCGCGAGAAUGAGUUAAUCUUCAAAAACCAUCCCAGU